rnacentral:snoRNA from 1 species
CUUCAGUGAUGAUACGAUGACGAGUCAGAAAUGGGUCCGUCCUGCUAAGUGUAAAUGCCGUGCGGCGUCAUGUUCUAUGGUGCCGCGCUCGGGUUUCCUUAGCGAGCAUACCCUCUUCCCUGGAUGACACUGAGGCAUUUGUCUGAGAAGG